rnacentral:rRNA from 1 species
UACGAAGGGUGCAAGCGUUGUUCGGAUUUAUUGGGCGUAAAGCGCGUGUAGGCGGAUUUGAAAGUCAGGUGUGAAAUCUCGGGGCUCAACCUCGAAACUGCGCCUGAAACUCCAAAUCUAGAAUAUCGGAGGGGGAAGGGGAAUUUCACAUGUAGGGGUAAAAUCCGUAGAGAUGUGAAGGAACACCUGAGGCGAAAGCGCCUUCCUGGACGAUAAUUGACGCUGAGACGCGAAAGCGUGGGGAGCAAACAGG